CUACUUUUCAAAGAAAAAUAUUUUCUUUGGAGUUGUAGGUAUUAUAGUGAAAACUUAAUCCUGACUUCUGUUCUGCAUAAAUGAGAAUCGCACUAUGCCAGGUAACAUAAUAUAGCGAGUACCCUGGUUGAGUCAAGAUAAUAUAAAAUAAGUGGAAAGAUAAUGUGGCCCAAGUAGUAAAGGAAAGGAUGUGCAAACAGCCGAAUGUGAAUCUGGCAAUAAUGUGCCUGUUUAAAUGAGUUUUAGUUGAGUACCAAAUAGUUACCUAGGUUUUCCUGGGAAAAACACUGAUCCAGCUUUUCUGAUUCAACUGAGUUUGUGUAUGGUUUUGAAUAAAUAACUAAACAAUAGAAA